rnacentral:rRNA from 2 species
UCCGUAGGUGAACCUGCGGAAGGAUCAUUAACCUUUCAAAACAGGGUGCGUCGCGGCCCCCGAGGUGCGGAAACAAGCCUCGAGCGGUUUGGGGUCCUCCCCUUCACGCGCGCACGACUGCCAUCCUUACUUUACGAGCACCUUCUGUUCUCCCUCGGCGGGGCAACCUGCCGUUGGAACCGAAUAAACUCUUUUUGCAUCUAGCAUUACCUGUUCCGAAACAAACAAUCGUUACAACUUUCAACAAUGGAUCUCUUGGCUCUGGCAUCGAUGAAGAACGCAGCGAAAUGCGAUAAGUAGUGUGAAUUGCAGAAUUCAGUGAAUCAUCGAAUCUUUGAACGCACAUUGCGCCCCUCGGUAUUCCGUGGGGCAUGCCUGUUCGAGCGUCAUCUACACCCUCAAGCUCUGCUUGGUGUUGGGCGUCUGUCCCGCCUCCGCGCGUGGACUCGCCCCAAAUUCAUUGGCAGCGGUCCUUGCCUCCUCUCGCGCAGCACAUUGCGCUUCUUGAGGGGCUCCGGUUCGCGUCCAACAAGCACAUUUACCGUCUUUGACCUCGGAUCAGGUAGGGAUACCCGCUGAACUUAAGCAUAUCAAUAAGCGGAGGA